ACAAUAGAGGUGCGAAAAACAGGGUAGUCGGCUUCGGGGCGGCAGGGGGCUCAAUGGAGGUCGGCGAAGGGGUUUUUCGCCGAAGGUGCGCGCACAUCCUGCGGCGUGCUCCUGGGUGUGCCGUGUAAGCGGCGCAACUGUCAUGUCCUUUAUAGACAUGGAGCGCUAUUGGU
rnacentral:ncRNA from 1 species